ACUAACGCUGGCGGUAUGCCUUAUACAUGCAAGUCGAACGGUAAGGCCUUCGGGGUACACGAGUGGCGGACGGGUGAGUAACACGUAGGAAUCUACCCUUUAGUGGGGGACAACCAAGAGAAAUCUUGGCUAAUACCCCAUACGCCGAAAGGUGAAAGUAGCAAUACGCUAGAGGAGGAGCCUGCGCUUGAUUAGCUAGUUGGUGGGGUAAAAGCCUACCAAGGCGACGAUCAAUAACUGGUCUGAGAGGAUGACCAGUCACAAUGGGACUGAGAUACGGCCCAUACUCCUACGGGAGGCAGCAGUAGGGAAUCUUGCGCAAUGGACGAAAGUCUGACGCAGCAAUACCGCGUGUGGGAAGAAGCUCCGUGGAGUGUAAACCACUGUCGGAUGGGAAGAAUUAAUGACGGUACCAUCAAAGGAAGCACCGGCUAACUCUGUGCCAGCAGCCGCGGUAAUACAGAGGGUGCAAGCGUUGUCCGGAUUUAUUGGGCGUAAAGCGUCUGUAGGCUGCUUAACAAGUCUGGAGUGAAAGAAUGGAGCUCAACUCCAUACCCGCUUCGGAAACUGUUAAGCUAGAGACAGCUAGGGGUUCGUGGAAUUUCCAGUGUAGCGGUGAAAUGCGUAGAUAUUGGAAGGAACACCAGAGGCGAAGGCGGCGAACUGGAGCUGUUCUGACGCUGAGAGACGAAAGCCAGGGGAGCGAAAGGGAUUAGAUACCCUGUAGUCCUGGCCGUAAACGAUGAGUACUAGCCGUCACGGGAAUC
rnacentral:rRNA from 1 species